rnacentral:rRNA from 1 species
UACGGAGGGGGCAAGCGUUGUUCGGAAUUACUGGGCGUAAAGGGCGCGCAGGCGGCUGCUCAAGUCAGGCGUGAAAGGCCUGGGCUCAACCCGGGAAUUGCGCUUGAGACUGGGCUGGCUUGAGUGCGGGAGAGGAUGGUGGAAUUCCCAGUGUAGAGGUGAAAUUCGUAGAUAUUGGGAAGAACACAGGUGGCGAAGGCGGCCAUCUGGACGGAUACUGACGCUGAGACGCGAAAGCGUGGGUAGCAAACAGG